rfam:Mustela putorius furo unplaced genomic scaffold scaffold00078, whole genome shotgun sequence.
UACCUAGAUUACCCCUCACUGCCUGUCUUUUAAAGUUAAUCUGUAGGCAUCCUGGCCCUUGGGCCAGUGUGGUCAUGUUCCACAUGGCUUUAAGUGCUUGUUCUGCUCCUACCUGGGUAACUCUGGUAAUUGUGGAACUAAUUGAUGCCACAGGCACCAGUAGCUCUGGUGAGUCUAGAUAACCAAGAUCAGUUGCAUGUUUCAUGGACCUGUCAGCUAUUUUAGGUAGAAGUCAUAGUGUCUACAGUGGCAACUAUGGUGACCAGAAAUCCAGGUUCGGUACCAUAAAGGGAGCUUGAUGAUCAACUUCCCCCAACCAAGAAAGGCAGCAAUGUGCAGAUUAUCUACUUCAGACCUGGGAGAGCAGUGAUGAAAAACGACACUGGACUCUUUUUGAAUGAGUGCAUUUUGAAUGCUUUAAGGAGGAUCCAUGCAGGGCAAGCCUGGUUGCUGGCCGCUGUGGUCAUCUCCACUCCAGGGCCAGGUAUUGAACCCAGCGCAGUUCAAAUGCCAGCUUGAUGCUGGAUCUCCCGUGUGGGCAGCAGCAGAUCCACCACAGGGGAUGGUCCUUCCAGGUUUUACCCACCCCCUUGGGUGAGCUCCUGGCUCUUAGUCCAGUUUCCCUAGGCUGAAGUGUACACUUGGAGAAAAUUCGAGUGUUCAAAGCAGACUCAAGCUGCCAGGAUACUGCCCUUAGAAUCAUGGAAUUCUAGUGUGGUUCUGUUUUGUUUGUGUCAGAACUUUGCAGAGGCUGGUUAGGCAGGAUUGUUGGGACAUUCAUAUUGUGUUGCUAGAGCCCAGAGUCUUAAGACUGGUGCAAGACGGACCAGAGUGAAAGCUUUUGCCAAAGAUGUUUUCAUUAAUCAAGGACGAAGGUGAAAGUGGGCGGUUUGAAGAGGCUUGGACCCCAAGUAUCCUGUGUAGUUCUGACCGUAAACGAUGUGGACAGCCAGUGUUGCUCUCAUGACCCACAGAUGGCUUCCAGGAAGCCGGAGUCCUCUGGCUGGCGGUGGUAGGGCUGGGGGGGGGGUAAGGUUCUAAAGCUAACUGAAAGACACAGCCCUGGAGUGGGCUUGAUUUCACUCAACCUGGACAACCCUUCCUGGCUCUCGUGUAGGUAGAACUGGCACAGCAAAAGCUCUUCUGUGGGUGGUGGUGUGCAGUGAUCCGCCUGGCUUAUGGAUAACUCUUGGGAUGAGAGUGCUAACCAGUUAGGCAGCCAGAGUAGUCAUUAUCCGUCAACUUUGAUAAGUGGUGCUCAGCCUUCCUAGGUUGAGGAACACACUGCUUUUUAACAUUGGGGGCCGAGUGUCACACUGCUCAGUGUAUGUGUCCCUGGUUAAAUCCAUUAACAGUGGGCUUGGGUUGCAGUUACUCCCCAUGAACGAGGAACUCCCUUGAGAGAGUAGAUCAAAAGUUUUCCUUAACUCCUUGUCUCUAGUACACUGCUUGUUGCCCCUCACGUUGCCCACUUGGGGUGGGCACUUAGGCCUGCAGAUCACAGAGAAGAAGGUCUAAAUAAAAGUUGUGACCAGUUUCCAUAGGUUGUCCUGCAGAGGGAGCAUUA